GUAGGGAAUAUUGGGCAAUGGAUGCAAGUCUGACCCAGCCAUGCCGCGUGAGUGAUGAAGGCCCUAGGGUUGUAAAGCUCUUUCACCGGUGAAGAUAAUGACGGUAACCGGAGAAGAAGCCCCGGCUAACUUCGUGCCAGCAGCCGCGGUAAUACGAAGGGGGCUAGCGUUGUUCGGAAUUACUGGGCGUAAAGCGCACGUAGGCGGACAUUUAAGUCAGGGGUGAAAUCCCGGGGCUCAACCCCGGAACUGCCUUUGAUACUGGGUGUCUGGAGUAUGGAAGAGGUAAGUGGAAUUCCGAGUGUAGAGGUGAAAUUCGUAGAUAUUCGGAGGAACACCAGUGGCGAAGGCGGCUUACUGGUCCAUUACUGACGCUGAGGUGCGAAAGCGUGGGGAGCAAACAGGAUUAGAAACCCGGGUAGUCC
rnacentral:rRNA from 1 species